GGGUAGCCUAGUGGUUAUGGCAUCCGACUCCAGAUCGGAUGGCCUGGGUUCGAUGCCCGGUGCCACCA